UGAGGAAUAUUGGUCAAUGGGCGCAAGCCUGAACCAGCCAUGCCGCGUGCAGGAAGACGGUCCUAUGGAUUGUAAACUGCUUUUAUUUGGGAAUAAACCUCUUUACGUGUAGAGAGCUGAAGGUACCAAAUGAAUAAGCACCGGCUAACUCCGUGCCAGCAGCCGCGGUAAUACGGAGGGUGCAAGCGUUAAUCGGAAUUACUGGGCGUAAAGCGUGCGCAGGCGGUUUUGUAAGACAGAGGUGAAAGCCUGCAGCUUAACUGUAAAAUUGCCAUUGAAACUGAAAGUCUCGAGUGUGGUUGAGGUAACUGGAAUAUAUCAUGUAGCGGUGAAAUGCUUAGAUAUGUCACAGAACACCGAUUGCGAAGGCAGCUUACUAUGGUUUAGUUGACGCUGAGGAACGAAAGCGUGGGGAUCAAACA
rnacentral:rRNA from 1 species